UAAAACUUUCAACAACGGAUCUCUUGGUUCUCGCAUCGAUGAAGAACGCAGCGAAAUGCGAUAAGUAGUGUGAAUUGCAGAAUUCAGUGAAUCAUCGAAUCUUUGAACGCACAUUGCGCCCUCUGGCAUUCCGGAGGGCAUGCCCGUUCGAGCGUCAU
rnacentral:rRNA from 1 species